rnacentral:tRNA from 1 species
GGAAACAGAACUCGACUGGUUGAGUGUCUCCCUUUUAAGGAGAAAGUCUCGGUUCAAGCCCGGGUGUUUCCU